rnacentral:ncRNA from 2 species
UGAAGACACCGCGGGAGCCCGCCGUCCAAGGGCUGAGAGGGUGUGUCUAACGAGCACACCGACCGUCAUACCUGAUCCGGAUCAUACCGGCGUAGGGAAGGAAAACACUGUGCCUG